GAUCAUGGCUCAGAUUGAACGCUGGCGGCAGGCCUAACACAUGCAAGUCGAACGGUAACAGGAAGAAGCUUGCUUCUUUGCUGACGAGUGGCGGACGGGUGAGUAAUGUCUGGGAAACUGCCUGAUGGAGGGGGAUAACUACUGGAAACGGUAGCUAAUACCGCAUAACGUCGCAAGACCAAAGAGGGGGGACCUUCGGGCCUCUUUGCCAUCGGAUGUGCCCAGAUGGGAUUAGCUAGUAGGG
rnacentral:rRNA from 1 species